AUUGAACGCUGGCGGCAGGCCUAACACAUGCAAGUCGAGCGGCAGCGGGAAGUAGCUUGCUACUUUGCCGGCGAGCGGCGGACGGGUGAGUAAUGUCUGGGAAACUGCCUGAUGGAGGGGGAUAACUACUGGAAACGGUAGCUAAUACCGCAUAACGUCGCAAGACCAAAGAGGGGGACCUUCGGGCCUCUUGCCAUCCGAUGUGCCCAGAUGGGAUUAGCUAGUAGGUGGGGUAAUGGCUCACCUAGGCGACGAUCCUUAGCUGGUCUGCGAGGAUGACCAGCCACACUGGAACUGAGACACGGUCCAGACUCCUACGGGAGGCAGCAGUGGGGAAUAUUGCACAAUGGGCGCAAGCCUGAUGCAGCCAUGCCGCGUGUAUGAAGAAGGCCUUCGGGUUGUAAAGUACUUUCAGCGGGGAGGAAGGUGUUGAGGUUAAUAACCUCAGCAAUUGACGUUACCCGCAGAAGAAGCACCGGCUAACUCCGUGCCAGCAGCCGCGGUAA
rnacentral:rRNA from 1 species